UUAAUGGAGAGUUUGAUCCUGGCUCAGGACGAACGCUGGCGGCGUGCCUAAUACAUGCAAGUCGAGCGGGGUUACUUAGAAGCUUGCUUCUAAGUAACCUAGCGGCGGACGGGUGAGUAACACGUAGGCAACCUGCCCACAAGACAGGGAUAACUACCGGAAACGGUAGCUAAUACCCGAUACAUCCUUUUCCUGCAUGGGUGAAGGAGGAAAGGCGGAGCAAUCUGUCACUUGUGGAUGGGCCUGCGGCGCAUUAGCUAGUUGGUGGGGUAA
rnacentral:rRNA from 1 species